rnacentral:lncRNA from 1 species
CAGUACAUAACAGAAACUAAACAAGCAUCGAUGUGUCAAAGCUAGAGAAAGAACAACACCAGAGAGGUAAUAAACAGGAUGACUAUCAAUUGCCAAUUGACGAGCAUAAAAACACUAACCAUCAGCUCAUGUAAACUGAGCUGAGCAAAGGAAGGAGAAGUAUAAUGUAAGAAUGUGGCUUGAUAUUAAUUUUCAUACAUGAAAGACAACAGGUAAUGUGAGUCACUCAACAGUUAAUAAAACGAAACAUUCGUCAAUUAAUACUACCUAUUCAUAAAACAGAGAUCAUAAAUUUCAAGCCCAAUUGCCAGUACACAAUUAUAGAUCGACUUUAAGAUUAUUAACCUAAACUAUUUAUUGGCUGGUCUCACCAAGUCACACACAGUAGCAUACUCA